rnacentral:rRNA from 1 species
AAAGGAAUUGACGGGGACCCGCACAAGCAGCGGAGCAUGUGGUUUAAUUCGAAGCAACGCGAAAAACCUUACCAAGACUUGACAUCGUACGACAGCCGCCGAAAUGCGGUCUUCCCAGCAAUGGGACGUGCAGACAGGUGGUGCAUGGUUGUCGUCAGCUCGUGUCGUGAGAUGUUGGGUUAAGUCCCGCAACGAGCGCAACCCUUGUGAACAGUUGCCAAUAUUAAGUUAGGAACUCUGUUCAGACUGCCGUGGUUAACACGGAGGAAGGUGGGGAUGACGUCAAAUCAUCAUGCCCCUUACGUCUUGGGCUACACACGUGCUACAAUGGCUACUACAAAGAGCUGCCAACCGGCAACGGUCAGCGAAUCUCAAAAAAGUAGUCUCAGUUCAGAUUGUGGGCUGAAACUCGCCCACAUGAAGUCGGAGUUGCUAGUAAUCCCAAAUCAGCAUGUUGGGGUGAAUGCGUUCCCGGGUCUUGUACACACCGCCCGU